rnacentral:rRNA from 1 species
UAGGUGGCAAGCGUUGUUCGGAUUUACUGGGUGUAAAGGGCGUGCAGCCGGAGAGUCAAGUCAGAUGUGAAAUCCACGGGCUCAACCCGUGAACUGCAUUUGAAACUGUUUCCCUUGAGUAUCGGAGAGGUAACCGGAAUUCCUAGUGUAGCGGUGAAAUGCGUAGAUAUUAAGAAGAACACCAGUGGCGAAGGCGGGUUACUGGACGACAACUGACGGUGAGGCGCGAAAGCGUGGGGAGCAAA